GACGUAGGGCGCGAGCGUUGUCCGGAUUUAUUGGGCGUAAAGAGCUCGUAGGCGGCUCGUUGCGUCAGCUGUGAAAACCCGCAGCUCAACUGUGGGCUUGCAGCUGAUACGGGCGGGCUAGAAUUCGGGAGAGGAGAGUGGAAUUCCCAGUGUAGAGGUGAAAUUCGUAGAUAUUGGGAAGAACACCGGUGGCGAAGGCAGCUCUCUGGACCGAGACUGACGCUGAGGCGCGAAAGCGUGGGAAGCAAACAGG
rnacentral:rRNA from 1 species